rnacentral:misc_RNA from 1 species
UUAACUAUUAUAUAGUACUCAGACAAUAUUAAAAAUGAGUUUUAGGUCCUCUAGCAGGCACUGACCAGCCAAAGCCGGUGGCCGAAGCGGGCCUGCUAAAGCAACAAAGAUAGUAGACAGAGGGUGGAGUAUUAGAGUGGUAACUCUUAAUAGCUCUUUAAUGAUCCUUCCGCAGGUUCACCUACGGAAA